UCUUCCCUUGCAUCUCAGCUGCAUCUCCUUUUUGCAGCUUCGUGCGUUUCAGUGCAUUACUGUUGACCUUAAUUUAAUACGAGCAUGUGUAUCUAUAAAGCCCCAAAAAACAUAAUGCCCUUUUGUACCAAAAGGGGUCUGAGAAAAAAAAAAACGGAAGGAAGACAAAGAGGUUGCAAAGGAAAGCCCCUCUGCAUAUGCCCAGAACCUCUUGCUUUCUUUGUCUCCUGAAUCUUAGUGACUAUAAAAACAGUUCAUCAUGGAUCAAGUAAUGCAGUGGAAACCAGCCACCAGUUUGUGAAAGAUUCCAUCAGAUUUGGCAAAAGAUGCACAGAACCAGAUAGAAUGUGCAAGCAGUUAAUUUUUUAAAUAGGGGCUAGAAGUGGACUUAUCUCUUUGGUAAUGUAAGCAGAGUGAUUUUGGACAAGAGCCCAGAAAUAUGCAUACCAGCUUUAUCAAUGCACUUGCCUGUUCUUCUUGGACUUUUUUCUGUCCCUCCAGACUGUGAUGGCGAACCUUUUGAGCUCAGUGUGUCAAAAAUUUGAAAAAUGCCUAACUUGACUCUGCUGGCGUGUCACCCCCCCACUCCAAACAAAAAGAAAAACGAUUGUUUACAUACGCAUUUAUUUAAAAAACGUUAUUGCCCCUUUGCGCAAAGCUGGUUCCUGGAGAAGCUGCUUGCAAAUUCGAUAACUGAGCAGUGGAUAACUGACUUUGCACAAAGCCAGCAAAAGCAUGCCCCUUCACUCAAAGGUGCCCCUUUGUGCCAGGGCACACCUCUUUGCGCCCCUUCAUACAAAUUGCAAGUGGCCUCUGGAGGAACUGGCUUUGCGCAAGAGGGAGCAAGAAGAUGGCAAGGUGAGCUGGGGCGGUAGGGCAGGAGGAGCUGGGAGAUUGUGGCUGGGACACCAGCGGCUUCCCAGGGAGUGGCAAGCAGCCCUGGAGCUGUGUGCUUCUGGGGCUGAUUGCUGCCACUUAAGGCAGGGUGUAGGGCAGCCAAUUGGACAGAGAUGUGGGGAGAUAGGUGGGUGGGGGGAGUUGCAGUGCCUUUUGUUCAUUAAGUUUCUUUGGUAACUCAAACAGGGAGAAUAGUUGUCAGGUGUUGGUGAAUGCUGGUGUGUCACCCAAAACGUGUGUCACCUUUGACACGCAUGUCAUAGGUUCGCCAUCACUGCUCCAGAUCCUUAUUAUGAGCUGUUUCCAGAGCAUCCAGGGCCUCCUGAACCCUUUCCUCCUUCAAGUGCUUGGUGCUGAACUCUCUCCUGUUCCUCCAGGGCUCGUACUAGAAAUUUAUUUAUUUAUUUAUCACAUUUCUGCACUGCCAAUCUUGACAAACGACUCCAUGUGCUUGAAUAAUAUUUACAUUGGGUAAGUAUAUAUAUAAUUGUAACUCUUGCAAGGAUAUAUUAUUCUUUGGUUUUUAAAUUUUUUUUUACUUUUUAAAAGUGAUAAAAGUACUGAAAAAGAAAAUAAAGAAAAAUAAGAACAUCCCAAGUUUUAGAGUGUAAUGAAGUUUAUUGUUGUAACCACAGAUCAUAACAUAAGAAUGCAAUAAAAUACAAUAAAAAUAAUAUUAAAACAAUAAAGUGAUGAAAUUAUAAGAUAAAAUAAUAAAAGAAGCAUUGAAUAUAUUAAAAAGGUUACAACAAAAUAGAGCCAGAGCUACAACUAAGAGCUUAAAUAUUUCUUUCUCAGUUUAAGUGAGAGCAGAGCAAAAGUAGCAACUUCCUUCCUAACAGUUGGAAACAACAUCUGCAAGAAGAUAAAUCAGUUUUUCAGGGUCAGAGCCCUAGAGUUCAUCUGCCAUUAAUUUGGCCCAGAUCUCAUAAAUGGGGCAAUGGAGGACAUAAUGGAUAACAUCCUCCACUUGACCAACACCACAAGGACAGAAGCAUUGUUUGACAGGGAGCUUACAAAUCUCCCUUCGGGAUAUGCAGAGGGCAUGGUCUGCAGGCUAAGGGAUGUUAAAGCCCUUCUCAGUGAUGCACUGAUUAUGUUAACCAGGUACUGGGAGAGGCUUCUAUGUUUUUUAUAAUGAUGGUACCAGGAUGAAAAUUUGGAUGACUGUACGGUGAUUGUGUCUUUAUUAGCAUCCCUUUCAAAAAGCCAAUCUCCAAUAUUUUCUCUAUUCCAAGUUCUGAGUUCUCCCAAAGAUGGUAGGGAAUACAUUUGUAAAAUGGGUGACAAAAGUUUAGUCCACUGGUUUCCAGGUGUGUA